rnacentral:lncRNA from 1 species
UCUCAACUCCUCGACGCACUGCAGGCGACGUUUACUCGGGACGACCGUCAACCAACCAACCCAAAUGCCAUCGUCCAUUAAACGCGAAUGACACUCUUGGAUGGUUGGGAAAAAGUCGGAGACCCUCGAUGCUGACCUGAACAGCGAUUCUUUGCUUGUGCUCACCUGCCGCCCGGAUCGCCAUUUUCAGAUCCGCCAGGGCGGCCUGGCACAUCCGGUCUCCGCGUGCUUCCGAGACUUCCAAAAUCCCGAUCAGCUUCGCCUUGAAGGAGACGCCUUCGCCGAGGAACCGGGUUCGGAGUAAUCAAAAUUGUUCGUUGGCACGCGCGUUAUAAUUGAAAAAGAGAACAAAACAUAAUAAAAAAAACUAAAUAAAUAAAAACCUCAUCGCUCCUAACGAACAAUCCGCAAUGUUAUGCAAGAGGAUUUCAGAUAUACAAUAAUUUGAAUCUACGUUUAUAUCUAAUUUUAACGAAAACAGGCGAUUCGUCGAGAUGCAUGUGUUAUUUGUGUCAAUUCAUGAUCUUUUGAUCUA